rnacentral:rRNA from 1 species
CCAAAUGGGUUUUUUAAACUUUUUGCCGUUAAAAAGUUUGUAGUUGAUUCUCCCGUCCCCCCCCAGGUUUUUUCCUUAGCGGGACGCCUGGUUACUUUGAGAAAAUUAGAGUGUUUCAAGCAGGUUUCGCCUGUAUAAUUGAGCAUGGAAUACCCUUGUAUGACCCUGUCGUACCGUUGGUUGACUUUGGGUAAUGGUUAAUAGAACGGUGGG